rnacentral:rRNA from 1 species
UAAGGAAUAUUGGUCAAUGGACGCAAGUCUGAACCAGCCAUGCCGCGUGGAGGAUGAAGGUCCUCUGGAUUGUAAACUUCUUUUAUCUGGGACGAAACACUUCUUUUCUAAGAGGCCUGACGGUACCAGAUGAAUAAGCACCGGCUAACUCCGUGCCAGCAGCCGCGGUAAUACGGAGGGUGCAAGCGUUAUCCGGAUUCACUGGGUUUAAAGGGUGCGUAGGUGGGUAUGUAAGUCAGUGGUGAAAUCCCCGAGCUUAACUUUGGAACUGCCAUUGAUACUAUAUAUCUUGAAUACCGUAGAGGUAAGCGGAAUAUGUCAUGUAGCGGUGAAAUGCUUAGAUAUGACAUGGAACACCAAUUGCGAAGGCAGCUUACUAUGCGGUGAUUGACACUGAGGCACGAAAGCGUGGGUAGCAAACA